rnacentral:sRNA from 1 species
GGCGCGCGGGCGCCCCCGGUUUCGGGAGCAGCUGGGGCGACGGGCGGUCCCGGGUGGGGCGGCCCGGGGCGGUGACCACCCUGGCGUCUUGGCAGGUGUGCGACGACCCGGAGGAGCUGCGGGGGAAGGUCCAGGAGCUGGCCAGCGCCGUCCGGAACGCCAAAUACUUGGUCGUCUACACAGGCGCGGGAAUCAGCACGGCAGCGUCUAUCCCAGACUACCGGGGCCCUAAUGGAGUGUGGACACUGCUUCAGAAAGGGAGAAGCGUUAGUGCUGCCGACCUGAGCGAGGCCGAGCCAACCCUCACCCACAUGAGCAUCACCCGUCUGCAUGAGCAGAAGCUGGUGCAGCAUGUGGUGUCUCAGAACUGUGACGGGCUCCACCUGAGGAGUGGGCUGCCACGCACGGCCAUCUCCGAGCUCCACGGGAACAUGUACAUUGAAGUGAGCAGUCCUGCAGGGACCCGGGGUCUCCAUGGGCAGGCGGGUCCCACUCACUGUGCCCUCUUGCCUCUAGGUCUGUACCUCCUGCGUUCCCAACAGGGAGUACGUGCGGGUGUUCGAUGUGACGGAGCGCACCGCCCUCCACAGACACCAGACAGGCCGGACCUGCCACAAGUGUGGGACCCAGCUGCGGGACACUAUUGUGCACUUUGGGGAGAGGGGGACGUUGGGGCAGCCUCUGAACUGGGAAGCGGCGACCGAGGCUGCCAGCAGAGCAGACACCAUCUUGUGUCUAGGGUCCAGCCUGAAGGUUCUAAAGAAGUACCCACGCCUCUGGUGCAUG